GAUGAAGAACGUAGCGAAAUGCGAUAAGUAGUGUGAAUUGCAGAUUUCAGUGAAUCAUCGAAUCUUUGAACGCACAUUGCGCCCGCCAGUAUUCUGGCGGGCAUGCCUGUUCGAGCGUCAUUUCAACCAUCAAGCCUUUGCUUGCGUUGGGGCCCCGCGGCUGCCGCGGCCCCCUAAAUCCAGUGGCGGGCUCGUCGUCGUACCGAGCGCAGUAAACAUCCUCGCUCCGGGAACCCGACGGGUGCCGGCCGUGAAACCCCUCACAUCAAGGUUGACCUCGGAUCAGGUAGGAAUACCCGCUGAACUUAAGCAUAUCAAUAAGCGGAGGA
rnacentral:misc_RNA from 1 species